UACGUAGGGUGCAAGCGUUGUCCGGAAUUAUUGGGCGUAAAGAGCUCGUAGGCGGUUUGUCGCGUCUGCUGUGAAAACUGGAGGCUCAACCUCCAGCCUGCAGUGGGUACGGGCAAACUAGAGUGCGGUAGGGGAGAUUGGAAUUCCUGGUGUAGCGGUGGAAUGCGCAGAUAUCAGGAGGAACACCGGUGGCGAAGGCGGGUCUCUGGGCAACAACUGACGCUGAGGAGCGAAAGCGUGGGGAGCGAACAGG
rnacentral:rRNA from 1 species